rnacentral:misc_RNA from 1 species
CCUAAGAGUUGUAGGCCUUUGGCCUGCUAUCUCUUACCCCAUUGUCUUUUGAGUACCGUUCGUUUUCCCUCGGCCGGGUCCUGCCCGCCCGAUUGGACAAUUUAAAAAACCAUUUUGCAGUUGCAAUCAGCGUCAUGAAAAAAACUUAAUAGUUA